rfam:Nomascus leucogenys chromosome 8, whole genome shotgun sequence.
GCUUGCUUCAGCAGCACAUACAUAUACUAAAAUUGGAGUGAUACAGAGGAGACUACCAUGGCCUCUGAGCAAGAACGACACAAAAAUUCUAAAAAACAAACAAACAAAA